rnacentral:rRNA from 1 species
CCUACGGGUGGCAGCAGUCGAGAAUAAUUCACAAUGGGGGAAACCCUGAUGGUGCGACGCCGCGUGGGGGAAUGAAGGUCUUCGGAUUGUAAACCCCUGUCAUGUGGGCGCAAAUUAAAAAGAUAGUACCACAAGAGGAAGAGACGGCUAACUCUGUGCCAGCAGCCGCGGUACUACAGAGGUCUCAAGCGUUGUUCGGAAUCACUGGGCGUAAAGCGUGCGUAGGCUGUUUCGUAAGUCGUGUGUGAAAGGCGCGGGCUCAACCCGCGGACGGAACAUGAUACUGCGAGACUAGAGUAAUGGAGGGGGAACCGGAAUUCUCGGUGUAGCAGUGAAAUGCGUAGAUAUCGAGAGGAACACUCGUGGCGAAGGCGGGUUCCUGGACAUUAACUGACGCUGAGGCACGAAGGCCAGGGGAGCGAAAGGGAUUAGAUACCCCUGUAGUC